CAGACCAUCCGCCACACCUUUGUUUUUGUUGUUCUACUAUGUAAGAUGCUCAUAAUGACACUCUUCUUAUAUGGUGGACAUAAAUGAAUGCACAAAAAUUAUAAAGCAAAAUUCCCUAACAUUACAACUCAAGUUUGCUAAUGAAUUGGCGAACUGUUACUCCAAUCGUGCGUAAUGUUUAAUGCUCCAUCUAUAAAAAGAUAGGU
rnacentral:lncRNA from 1 species